CGGAUACUCCCUCCGUCCCAAAAUUCUUGUCUUAGAUUUUUCUACAUACGGAUGUAUCCAUUCACAUUUUAGUGUUAGAUACAUCCGUAUCUAGAUAAAUCUAAGACAAGAAUUUUGGGACGGAGGGAGUACUAG
rfam:Triticum aestivum genome assembly, contig: Triticum_aestivum_CS42_TGACv1_scaffold_528007_6DL